CUUCCGAGGCUCUUCUCCUCCUCGCCUCCCGGCGACACCGGCGGCGCGUCCUCCGAAGUUACCCCGAGGAGGAAACUAGGAAGAGCUUGGAAUAGUGCAUUGAACCGCCCGCGGGUCAAAUGAUCAGUGCUCCAGAGAUGUGUUAGUCACCCUCAGGUCAUAAUUAAGAAGGAAAAUACCAUUCAAAGCAAGUGACAGCCCAGAGUCCUCCAGAAGUCCUGCAAUCCGACAUGCUGGCUCCUGAAGACCUUACAGAACAGAGAACUACUUCAGAAGGAACUGGGGGUAAACGUUCAUCAGAUUUCGGAGUGGAAGAUCACGGAGCAUGGAAAUGAUGCUUGAACACUGCUGCAUGCAUUAGGAAAACAAGAAUUCCUCCCCCAACAGAACAUGCUUUGUUCAGCACCAGUAAUAUCACAGGUGAGGACCAAACGGAAAACCUUUCAACAUAAACAAAGAAAACAAUAUAACACAACUGGCAAGCUUUUCAUCUCUAGUGUCACAGGGAGAUGCUGUCAGGAUGAGAAGUUAACACAUGGAAGCCAGCUGUAGCAACUAAAUGUCUCAAGGAAACUUGUUCUUACAUAAUGAAAUCCAUUCACAAGGAAUAUCACAGAAAGUUGGAGUGACCUGAUAAAAGUCAGAAGAGAUUACCAGAUUUAUUCUUGGAAAAGCAAGAAAGUAAAGCUCAAAGCCUGACAGACUCUGAAAAUGAUGAAAAUAUGACUGUUAAUUCAAAAGUUUUAUUUCCAGAUGUUCAAAGAACUGAUUUUUAAAGAUAGCAUGUUGCAUAAUAUGUUGGAAAACCACCUGUAAGUGUUCAUAAAACAAACUAAGAAAAAAUCAGACAAACAGUUAUGUUCAGAAAUAUAGUGGGAUAUGCCAUGAAAAACUAAAAUUAUCUGGGCAGGGUUCUGGCUUUGUCGUGAACUCAUUAUUAAGAAAACCAUGCUGCUCUGCUGCC